rnacentral:lncRNA from 1 species
AGAAGAGGCGCCCGGAAAACCUUAGCUCUUGGCUAUCUCUUCCCUGAGCACACCCUGGCCCUGGGGCCUGAGAUCUCUCCAUGCAGGGGCAGCCAUGAGCUCCGGGGGCAGCAGCAAGGCUGGCCACACCACCCAUCAGCCACCUCCAGCCCCGCCGCUCAACCAGCCAUCAGUCCCUUAACUGCCAGUGUUCGUGGACCAUGCAAAACAACCAAGCAAGGGACUCAUUAAGCCCAAAGCAAUUUUAGGGUGCCCAGUGGAGAGACUCACAGAGGCUGCUAGUGCCGAUGCUGCUGGUGCUGCUGCUGAGGAGUGCCCAGGACCAGGUGCCAGGGGAGUUGGAGUCAAUAACCACCACUGUCAGAUCUACUGACCCCCAAGCCAGUUUCUCCAGUCAGAUCUACACAGCUAAAUGAGAAGCGGAACUGGGAAUCUUUUUUGCAAACAAAACUCUGGCCCAUUAAGAACUCUCUGCUGCCUUGUGAAG